GUGGAAGGGCCUUGAGUCUACACUGCCAUAUAAUCCAGUUAAAAUCAGAUAAUCUGUAUUUUAUAGGCAGUGUGGAAGAGGUCUAAGUGAGGCCUAACUCUGCCUGUCCCCUGGGCUGAGUGGGUUGCUAGGAGACCAAGUAGGCGGAGCGUAGCCUUCUAACUGGCAGCAAUUGGAUAAAAACAAUUAUUCUUCUCCCUCUAAUUAGGACUUUAUUUUUCUUUUCUUUUUGUUGUAUGAACGUAGAGGCAUGGAUGAGGGAUUGUGCUGCUGAGUUUAGUGUUUCUGGGAUGUGUAGUUUUGUUGUUUUGUCCUAGGCUGAAAUUUCAUUACCCUUUUAUAUAUAUAGAUAAUGUAUAUUCUGUACAUUAGAUGUAUAGAAAAAUCUUGUUUCCUUCUAAUCCAUUUCCAACAUUAUUCUGAGAAAUAUGAUUUGGAAAAUAAUUGAAUUUCUUAGGGAAACUGUAUGAAUUAGUUAACCAGAAGUUUCCGUUCCCACAUUACUAAUAAGAAAAUGUAAAUAAGAAUAAGAAAAGGUGCCAAUGCACUGUUCAGAGACAUAACUCAUUUCAGUAAGUAAUUAUAUAAAACAUUGUUUAAAAGAUAAAACAAGGAAGCUUCAGGAGUAGAUAUAAUAGCAGAGAUGAUGUCCUUUAGAAAGGCCACAUCUGGGAAAUUGCAGGAAGCAAUUAUAUGAAAAAUUACAUACAAGUGAAGUUGUGAACAGUAUAUAAAGCAAGGCUCAAUUUAAAACAUGCAAGGGUUUGCCCAUGCAAAAGCCUUGUGCGGUAAAAUCCAAAUGUACUUGGGAAAUUAAAUAUGAUAAACUGGACCUUGAUAUGAAAAUCUGCCCCAUGCUUCCCUUCUUUCUCCUUGUUUGCCAUCUGGCAGGAAGAAAACAUUGUCAUGAAACAUUCAUUAUGUUUUUUCCGGCAGCACCUAGAACCCCAUUGUGCUAGGCAUUGUGCGAGUGCAAGAAAAGGUCAAAUCAUGCUUCAUUCAAAUACCAAUCUGAUUAAAUCUCAUUCUGUUUUCCUCCCCCUCCUUUUGUGUUGCUUUUCAUGCUGCAUGUAAGUUACUGCAUUACUGUAUUUAUUAUUGCUUUUAGUUUUCAAGUUGGUUGUUGCUAUUAGAGCUUGCAAAGUUAUCUUUUUUGACCAUGAUUCUCAAAACUGUCAGGGGAUUCUGAGCGUUGUAGUACUAUAAGUCAUGUUUUUUUUUUCCAAGUUCUGAUUUUUAUACAGUGUGGCUCCCAUACCCACAAGGAUAAAUUCCAAGAAUGCCACAGAGACCUGAAACCAAGGAUAGGAGUGAAUCCUAUAUUUUGACUAUGCUUUCUUGGACAGGAAGCCUACUUUGGAAUACCACUGGAGAGAAUCAAAAACACUUCCAAAGGGAAUAUUUUUGGAGCAUGGGUAAAUGAAACCACGGAUAUUAUUUUGUGGAUAAGGGGUCAUACUGUACUGUACUGUAUUGUUUUUGGCAUAUAAACAUCAAAAGCCUACAAACACCAAAAAUGAUAUAAUUAUCAUAAAUGUAUAUUUAUUUUAUUUAAUGUCAAAAGCAUUGUAUAAAUAAGUAUACAAUGAGCCUAAAAACCUGGCUCUUCCAAAAGGCCUUUGACGAUUAAUUAUUAGGUUGAACUAUCUGCCCAUCCAACUACAGGAUAUUCUGCCACUACUAUGCACUUUAUGGACUACUUUGGCUGAGAAACUACCUCUCCCAUUUGGAUAUAUUCUGCACUUUGGCCCAGAUCCUUGUUUUAGUCUCCUGUUUUUAACAUUUUAUGCUGUAUGUUGAUUUUUAUGAUGGUUUUAUUGAUAUUGAUGUUUUACUGUUGAAAUAAUUGUUUUAUCAUUUUAUUGCUGUAUGUUUCGGGCUGUAUGUAAGCCGCUCCGAGUCCCCUCCGGGGAGAUGGGGCGGGGUAUAAAAAUAAAGUUAUUAUUAUUAUUAUUAUUAUUAUUAUUAGGUAUAAAACUGAUAAAAUAGAGGGAACUCAAGCGACUGAAUAAAAUUAGACCAAAAACGGGCAAUAUCAAUUGCAUUGUCUGUAGCUUUAAACAAUUCUUUCUUUGUGCAUGAGGCAGGGCAUUGUGGGCAAGCAUACAGAUGCAGAGCUAUUUGCACAAGGUGGAGGAUUCUUCUAGGACAUGCCAUUUUACCAGGUUGUCUUUUGAUCUGCCCAAUCUGCUUCUGAGUCUGUUCAGGGACUUCCAAGUUGCCUAUUCUUUGUUUGCCCCCGGAGGAAGAUGCUCGCGGGGGUCAUCCGUUUGAGAUUGCCUGGUUUAGCUGCCCAGAGGGAUAUUCUUGCUGCUGCUGGGGGAAGAUUUAGAGGAGUGUCAGUUCUCAUGAAACUUUCCCUUGAUUUGAGUUUACUGGGAGUAGGUUGAUAGCCAUAUAGCGGGUGGCUUUCACAGUGUUCAACUUUAUUUCUCUCCCAGUUAGCAGCAACUUCCUGUCGCACAUCGGGAGAGGGCAAUGCCAGCUAACUUGUAGAGUUUAUCAACAGGUGUAUGUUAGUGACAUCCUGUGAUUAUUCUACAUGUUUCAUUCAGUACUAUAUUUACCUGCUUCACAUAGACAGACUUGUGCCAAACAAGACAGGCAUACUCAGCAGUUGAGUAAGACAAGGCCAGGGUUGAUAUUCUUAUUAAUUUUGGGUCUGUACCCCAUGUACUGCUAGUAAGUUUCUGCAGGAUAUUAUUGCGUGCAGCUACUUUGUGCUUGGUGUUCAUACAGUGUUUCCUAAAUGUUAGUGUUCAAUCUAAGGUGACACUGAGAUAUUUAGGAUGGAAACAGUGUUCGAGCUCUUGGCCUUCCCAGGUAACUUUAAUUUUUCUGUUGGCUUCAUGGUUACGUAGGUGGAAAGCAUACACUUGUGUCUUGGCAGGUCUAGGCUUCAGAUGGCUAUCUUUGUAGUAGCUGGACAGAUCUUCCAAGGCAUUAGUAAGUUGUUUUUCAACUGUUUCAGAGUCUUUUGCUUGUGUUGUUAGGCCAAGGUCGUCAGCGUACAUAAAACUCUUUGUGAGUGGCUGAUGGUUAGUAAAGAUGUUAAACAAGGUUGAUGCAAGAACGCUUCCUUAGGGUAAACCAUUCUUUUGCCUCAUCCAUCUACUUUUCCUGCCUUGAAACUCCAUAUAGAAGUUGUGGUUUUCUAGGAGGGUCUGGACAGUUUUUGUAAAAUCGUGGUCCCGGGUAAUAUGGUAGGCUUUAUCCAGCAUUUUUCUAUGUUGUACCGUGUCAUAGGCUGCUGUAAGGUUCACAAAAACUGUUCCCAUAAUGCAGCCUUUCUCAUAUCCUUUCUCAUAUCCUCAAUAUACUCAGUCAGAUUGAGAAUUUGAGCUGUAUAUUUUUUCCUUAGUCUAAAACCUGCCUGUUGUGCAAUAAGAUGGGGUUCAAUAACAGGGCCUAGUUGAUUUAAUAGCACUCUCUCAUAUACUUUAUAUAAAUGACAUAGGAGAGAGAUUGGUCGGUCAUUCCUGGCAUCUUUACCAGGUUUUAAAAUGGCAGUGGUGUUAGUUUUCCUGUAUAUCGAUGGCUGCUUUUUCUUUGAGUUCAAUUUCAAAUGCUGAACAGGAUAGUGGGUGGUACUCAUUGAUGGAAUUUCACCAUCAGAACAUCCUCGGCUAAAAAUAUUAAUACUACUUCUGUUUGAAGCUUCCUUGCUUCCCAAUCUUUACACCUAUUCUUGCAGGUUCAAACAUUCUCUAGAGUAGAUUUCAGAAAGUUCAGGAGCAGAAAAGUAGAAUGAAAAGGUAAAAAUCACAGCAAGGCUCUACAUCUGUUUCUGUAUCACUGUAUUUAUGUAACCAGACUUGAAACUAGGGGAUUUUCUACAAUAGUUCCCACAAUCCCCCUGUCAUGUCCAUAAUUACACUAGACAAAGACUGCAGUCCGAAAAAGGACAAUUGCCAAGCAGUGUUAAUAAAUAUAUAAUGAUGCCUCAAAAGACAUGAAAAGGUGUGGAAUAACAGGAGCAAAAAUAGUGCAUAACCUAGCUUUUGUAAAACAGGGGAGAGACAUCUUUUUUUAGCCUAGAUGUUAAAUUCCAAUUUAGAAAGUAUCUUGAGGCAGCAAUUUCUAAUUUAGGAAGCACAUUGCAACAGUGGAUAGGUAUAAGGGCAUGGGGGAAACCCGAAUCAAAAUGUGUGGAGUCAAAUAGCAUUCUUGCCAGUCUACACAUUUUCACACCAGGAGUUCAAAGCACUGGUCAUUUCCAUGCAUGUCCACUCAGGAAUGAACCAGAGUGUAAUCUUUUCCAGGACUGCAAAGCAAUAUUUCAUCUUAUACAAUGUAUUUAUUGUGUAAGAAGCGAAUUGAUAUAUAAACACCAAGUAGCCACAGUAAGAACAGAUCACAGAACAACAGACUGGUUCAAGAUUGGGAAAGGAGUGUGGCAGGGCUGCAUACUUUCACCUUCCUAUUCAACUUGUACGCAGAACACAUCAUGCGACGUGCGGGGCUUGGGAAUCCAAGGCCAGAGUUAAAAUUGCUGGAAGUAUGCAGAUGAUACCACUCUGAUGGCCGAAAGCGAGGAGGAGCUGAGGAGCCUUAUCACCAAGGUGAAAGAAGAAAGUGCAAAAGCUGGGUUGCAGUUAAACGUCAAGAAAACCAAGAUCAUGGCAAAUACACCUAUUGAUAACUGGCAAAUAGAGGGGGGAAAUGUGGAGGCAGUGACAGACUUUAUAUUUCUAGGCGCGAAGAUCACUGCAGAUGCAGACUGCAGCCAGGAAAUCAGAAGAUGUUUACUUCUUGGGAGGAGAGCAAUGGCCAACCUUGACAAAAUAGUGAAGAGCAGAGACAUCACACUGGCAACGAAGGUCUGCAUAGUCAAAGCAAUGGUAUUCCCCAUAGUAACCUAUGGAUGCGAGAGCUGGACCAUAAGGAAGGCUGAGCGAAGGAAGAUAGACGCUUUUGAACUCUGGUGCUGGAGGAAAAUCCUGAAAGUGCCUUGGACCGCAAGAAGAUCCAACCAAUCCAUCCUCCAGGAAAUAAUGCCCGGCUGCUCACUGGAGGGAAGGAUAUUAGAGGCAAAGCUGAAGUAUUUUGGCCACAUCAUGAGGAGACAGGAAAGCUUGGAAAAGAUCACGAUCGGGAACGGGAAAAUGGAAGGAAAAAGGAAGAGAGGCCGACCAAGGGGAAGAUGGAUGGAUGGUAUCCUUGAAGUGACUGGGUUGACCUUGAAGGAACUGGGGGUGGUGACGGCCGACAGGGAGCUCUGGCGUGGACUGGUCCAUGAGGUCACGAAGAGUCGGAGAUGACUAAAUGAAUGAGCAACAGCAAGCCCGAUAGAGUGUUCCACCGUGUGGUUGAGUGUUUGUUUAAACCCAGCUUUUCCUUGAACAAUCUCAUCAUGGCAAACAAAUAUUAUUCUCCAUUAUGAGCCAUGGAUUGAGGGAAUUGGUUGUGAUAUGGAGAUAUGUCAUACAACAGUUUUCUGGAAGAUGAACAUGUUGGGGUGUGGCCGAUAACUCAGUGCAAGGUAGGCUUUGAAUUCUGGUUAUACUGCCUUCAGUGCUACUAAAGAAAUGUAGUACCUAAAUAUAAUAAAUAGGGCAUAUCACAUUUAUUUUAAAAAAAUUCCCAGUUUCUAGCCUAGUAAACUACUAUUAUGAGGUCCAAACAAAAAUAUUUUGAUGUCUUGGUUCUGAGGUCUGUUCCUAGGAUUAUUUAGGGCACUGAUUCAAAAAAUUGCAUUGCAUACACCACAUCAGCUCUAGUUUCUUAGAUAUGGUUAUCAUAAUUUUUGAUGGGUGAGCAGAUGAAGACGGGUAUAUGGUAUAUGUUCUGUAUCUCAAAAACUAGAACUGAUAGGGGGAAACUGGUGCCAUUUUUGGACUCAAGAGGUGAAAUAUACCCAGAAAUAGGUCUAACAUUUAAGGCAGCAAAUGCGUGUUGGCCAAUGUUAUCUUUUGUAAUCUCAUGGGGAAACUGAAGCAGGACAACUUGCCCAUUGAUCCAUAUAAAUUAUUUUUUUGAUAUUUAAUGCCCAUUUUGUCAUGCAGUCUUUUACAAAAUCUUUCUCGGUUUGCCAUUCGAGGAUCCUUUUAUAUAUCUUUGUUAUCCAUUUUUUUUUCAGAAGCCAUAAUUCUGUCCCAGAAUGUUUCUUUGCACAUGAAACCUUCCUUUCUGUCUUUAUUGUAAUAUUCUCUCAGUUGUCUAUAUUGGAACCACGAUAUGUCUUUGAAAUUUUCCUUGAGUUCUUCUUGUGAUUUCAUUUCUAGUCUUCCGUCACUCUGUCUUAAUAUAUCUUUAUAUGUGGGCCAUUUCUUCCAGCCUAGUAGUCUCCUUUGUCCCGCUUCUAGCGGGGAUAUCCAGAGGGGGGUUCUAGAAUAUAUCCUUACUUUAUAUUUGUUCCAGAUUUUCAUAAUUUCCGAAAUUCUUUUCUACGUUUGUUUUGUUAUACCACAAAUAUGCGUGCCAUCCGAUUCGAAGAUCAUGGCCCUCUAAGGUUAGAAUCUUUUCUCUCUUUAAUGUUGUCCAGUCUUUAACCCAUACUAGGGCACAUGCUUCGUAGUAUGAUUUCAGGUCCGGCAUUCCUAGGCCUCCUCUCUUUGUAUCAUCAAUCAGAUUGGUAUAUUUAAUUCUUGCUUUUUUCCCUAGCCAGAUGAAUUUAGUUAAGUCUUUUUCCCAUUUCUUAAAUAUGGACAUAUUUCUAAGAAUUGGAAGAUUUUGGAACAAGUAUAACAUUUUUGGCAAGACGUUCAUUUUUAUUGCCGAGAUUCUUCCUAAUAAUGACAGUUUUAGAUUUUUCCAGUUUUCCAAUUGUUUUUUUAUUUCUGCCCAUUUAACUUCGUAGUUGUUUUUCAACAAUUGCGAGUUUUUGGCGGUAAUUGAUAUUCCUAAGUAGUUAAUUUUGUUUGUGACUUGGAGUCCCGAAAUUUCCAUUAAUUUUCCUUGCUCCAUCUUGUUUAUAUUUUUUGUCAGCAUCAUCGACUUAUUUUUAUUGAUUUUAAAGCCUGCCACAUUGCCAUAUUCUUCUAUUAUGUUUAACCAUUUUUUUAUAUCUUCAGUUGGAUCCUCUAUAACACAAAUCAAAUCAUCAGCGAAUGCUCGGGUUUUAUAAUGGCUACUCCUGAUUCUAGUACCUUUCAGAUUCGUAUCUUCCCUUAUAGUCUGUAGUAGGAUUUCCAGGGCAAAAAUGAAAAUAAGGGGGGAGAGAGGGCAUCCUUGGCGGGUGCCUUUAUUGAUCCUUAUUUCCUCAGUUUUACAGCCAUUGAUCCAAAUUGUUGCUUUUUGAUCUUCGUAAAUAGCCCGUAUGGAGUUUGUAAAUUGAAAACCUAAGUCUAUUUCUUUCAUUAAUAAUUUGAAAAAGUCCCAAUUGAUGUUGUCGAAGGCCUUCUCGGCGUCGACUGCAAGUAAGGCCAUUUUCUUUUCAUUGUUUGUCUCAUAGUAGUCUAUAAUAUCGAUAAUUGUCCUAACAUUGUCUUUUAGUUGCCUAUUUGGAAGAAAGCCAGUUUGGUCCUCUUUUAUCCAGUUUCCUAGGAAUUAUUUCAUUCUUCCUGCAAGUAUAUUAGUAAAUAUUUUGUAGUCUACAUUUAAUAGAGAUAUGGGUCUAUAGUUUUUCACAUUUGUUGGGUCAGUUUUUUCUUUAUGUAUUACUGUUAUAUUGGCUUCUUUCCAAGAAUUUGGUAUUUUUCCUUCAUUAAGGAUAUUAUUCAUCAGAUUUUUUAAAUGGGGUAUUAAUUCUUCUUCAAAUGUUUUAUAAUAUGUUACUGAGAAACCGUCCGGAUCCGGUGCUUUGUUUGAGUCCAUCUUUCUAAUUGCCUUCUUUAUUUCAUCUUCGUCGAUAGAUGUGUUCAAGAGUUCUCUUUGAUCGUCUGUUAUCUUCUGUAGUUUUUUACCCCCUAGGUAUUUCAUUAUAUCCUCUUUUUUAAUUUGAUCUUUCUUAUAUAAUGUUUUAUAUAGAUUUCCUUAUCCGUCUGAAAGCAUUUUCCUUUAGAGUCAAUCCUAGUUAUGUAUUGUUUUUGUUUCCUCUUCCCGAUUUUCCUUGACAACCAUCUCCCCGGUUUAUUUGCAUUUUGAAAAUAAUCUUGUUUUACAAAUUUCAAUUUUUUUGCCAAUUCUUCCAUUUCUAUGUUAUUUUUCUGUAAUCUCAGAAGAUCUAAAUCUUUUUUCAAUUUUUGGUUUUUGGGAGAUUUUUAAAGAUUUUUUUCUAUUUUUGCCAUGUCUUCUUGUAGAUCUUUUAAUUUUUGAUUUCUUAAUUUAUUUCUCCAUGCAUUCUGUCUUAUGAAAUGGCCCCUCAUGACAGCCAGACCGUUUGUAUCGUGACUUCUGGGGUCGUAUUUAUAAGAAAAUAUUCUUUCAGAAUUAAUUUAUUUUUUCCUAUGUCUUCUUCCGUCUUCAGAAGUAGGUUGUUUACCCUCCAUUUUCCUGGACUUUUUGUUUCAUGAAUUGUAAAUCGCAUUGGGCAGUGGUCUGAGUGAGUUCUGGUUAGAAUUUCUAUUUUAGACAUUUUCGUUAUUAUGCUAUUGGAAGCCCAGACCAUAUCUAUUCGUGACCAUACCUGGUGCCUAUCCGAAUAGAAUGUGUAAUCUCUUUCUUUUUGAUGGAGGGAUCUCCAUGCAUCUUGCAUAUUGAAUUCUUGUAGUAGAUUUGUAAAAGUUUUUGGUAAGUUCUCCCCUCCGAUUUUUUUAUUUUUAUUAUUUGCUAUUGUCUUGUCGAUAUCUGAAUUCAUAAUCCCAUUGAAGUCUCCAAGUAUAAUCAAAUUAUCAAAUUCAUGUUCCAUUAUUAAAUCUUGUAGUUUUUUAACAAAUUCUGUUUUUGGGCCAUUUGGGGCAUAAAUAUUACAAAUUAAUGUUUUUUUAUUAUUUAUAUUUAUAAAUACCCCCAAGAUUCUUCCCUCGUUGUCUUUAAAUGCAAGUUCUGCUGUUAUCCUUUCUUUAACAUAUGUCACCACCCCCCUCUUUUUCUCCUUUGACAGUGAGUAGAAUUCUUUGCCUAGAAGCUUUUGGGUUAAAAGUAGAUUGUGUUUCUGUGUAAUAUGAAUUUCUUGUAGAGCCACGAUAUCAUAACACCGUUUUCUAAUGUUGUUGAAAACUUUAUUUCUCUUGGUUGGCGAGUUAAUUCCAUUAAUAUUGUUAAAAUUGCAUUUUAUUUGUCUCUCCAUCCUUCAGAAAUUCCCUCUUCUCUUGAUCCGCUAUUUCUUCCUCUUCAACUUCAUCCAAUUCUGGGAGAGCCAUGCCCUCAGGGAGGUACUCCAUAUCCGGGGAUUCUUCUCUCGACCUCUUCUUGUCCAUCUUGCCCUUUAUUUCUCCUUUUCCUUUGUCUUUUUGGGGUAUUGUUUCAAAAUCCUUUUUUAAUUUACGAUAAAAGUCUUUUGCCUUUUCUUCCGAGGUUAGCCACGAUCUCUCCUCCUUAUAGGUCACCAUGAUUCCUUCUGGUUGUUCCCAUCGAAAUUUGAUUUGUCUCUUUUUUAAUUCCCCUGUUAAGAACAUAUAUUUUCGUCUUUUAAUUAAUGUUGAUGGUAGGAAUUCUUUUAAGAUAGCUAUUUUUUUAUCUUUGUAAUAAAUUGGUUUUUUGUUAUUUUCUCUUAAAAUAUCAUCUCUGGUUUUUUUCUUUAUGAAGUGUACUAUUACAUCUCUUGGAACCUUGUUUCUCCUGGCAUAAUUAGUGGAAAUCCUAUAGACCCUGUCAAUCUCCUGAUCUACAACUUCGUAUUUACUAUGUGUUAGUUCGGAUGUUAGUUGAACUAUUGUUUCCCUAAUAUUCUCUUUACUUUCUUCCUCUACGUUUCUAUAUCUUAAUUGGUAUUCUAGAUUUUUUUGUUCCAUAAUUUCUUGUUUCAAUUCUAGUUUUUGAUUUUUAAUUUCUAGAUUCUCUAUCUUAGCUUGGGUUUUUGUUUGUAUCUUCUCUUGUUUUUGUUUAUCUUGUUUAAUUUCUUGGAUUUCCUGUUUUAAAUUAUUUAUAUCUUUUUUCAUGUCCCCCAAUUCUUCUGUAAUCUCAUUUUUCAUACAUAACAUUUGUUCCUGAAUCAUUUUCUGAUAGGCAUCUUGCUUCUCUGCCAUUCUCUGGACCUCUUUCAUCAUUUCCCUCAUUUCCUUCAUGACGUCCCUGAGACUAAUAUCUUCUGAAAGCGAGCCUCUCCUUUGUGUACCUUUAUCUUUAUCCAUUUUAAAUCUAAAUGCUGACAUUUUAUUAAAUAUAAUCACAAUCUUGUCUGUUUUUUUCCCCCCUUUAAUUUCUUUUCCUUAGUCUCAAUUUACCUUUCUGGUACUAUCUUAUUUCUUAUUUCCUCUAUUUCUUAGUGAACUUUUAACCACCGUUCCACACCCUAUUGUUCUCUUUAUCAGUUAUCCGUUGUCUCUUCAGGGAUUCCUUUUAUCCUCUUCACCACUCCGCAAAUGUCUAUGAGUUAAUCUUCUUCUUCUUCGUUGUCCCUUCGAUCUUUCUCUCUGACUCUUCUCUCUAUGUUGUUGUCUUCUAUUUGCCCUCUCUAUUUCUCCACCGUCUCUUAUAUGCCUACCCUUGGCCUCUUCGUCAGUCUACUGGUGUCCUUGGGUUGCCCCUCCGUUUCUCCGCCGUUCCUUCGCUCCUUCCCUUUGGCCUCUUCGUUCUGCUGGUGUCCUCUGGUUGUCCCUCUGCUUCGCCUUCGCCCCUUCGCACCUUUCCUUUGACUUCUUCACUCUGCGGGCACCUCUGAGUUGCCCUUCUCCUUCUUCGCCAUCUCUUCGGAUCUCCCCUCCUCCUCCUUGGACGUUCUGCCUCCUUCCCGGUGUCUCUCUGUCUCUCCGUCUCUUUAUUGCUCUCUUCCUUCCCUCGUAUCCUUUCUUGAGUUCCUUUCUCUCUUUUCCCCUUUCUGUCUUUUAUGUGCUCCAAUAUACUUCUAUAGUCCCUCUCGUCUUAAUUUUCUCUGUUCUCUACUUUCCACAGUCUAUAGUCUCCUUUCGUAUUUCCUUCUUCCCUUGGAUCCCUUCCUGGUCCGCAGCUGUAGUCCGCUCCUUCCCACUCCUUCUCUUUCUCUAUGGUAUGUGGGCUGCUCCUUUUGGUCCGAUUCCGUUCCGGGUUUCCCCUCCACCUUCCGUUAGUAAACCUUCCUCCAGCCCACGUGGACAGAUUGUUUUGUCUGAGUUUCCUGGCACUGACCCAGCGAUCCUCUCUUCAAGGUCAGCUGAGUCUUCCUUCCUUUAUUAACCAUUUAAAGUCGAGUUCUACUUCACUCGACCAAUUCUUAAUUCUCUUUCAGUUAAUUUAAUUUUCGGUUAAUUUGAUUUGAUUUCAAGAUUCACCUUAAGUUCCACAUGGAUAUGCUUCUGUAUAUAUCACCUCUGUUUUCUUUCUUUCUUUUCUUUUCAAUAGAUUGGUAAGUUUGGUCUACAAACUUGGGAAAGAGGUUUUCUUAAUGUUGCAUUUAAUUCCCCUGUAUAUUCUUAUAUAUUUCUUCCUCCGUAUAGGUAAAGUCACUCAGUCCAUUAUAGAGAAAAGAUUUUCUUUCAUACCUUCUGUUACUUGGCUUGGUAUGUGUUGUUAAAAUCAGGCGAGUUUCAGCGGUGUAUCUGGACGCCUUCGGUCCUCUCGCUUCUCCACGACCUGCUCACCCUGCGGGCUGCCAGUCCGGGUCUCUCCGGCCCCCACUCUUGAGGAGUGAGGGUCUUGAGACCGUCGGUUGACGCCCUGUGGGUUUGGCUGUCUCCCCGAACUCGAUCCGUCGGGGAGAGGGAGCUCUACGCUCUACCCGGUCGCCAGGAUCAGCUGGCUUCUUGAGAGCCCUCAAGAAGUCCACCCCGCCGCCAUCUCGCCAAACCGGAAGUCCCGGCCAGCAGCUCAAUGCUUUAACACACUUCGCCAUCAGGGCUUAUAGUGACAUAAGUAGUAUAUUUAAAUGCAGGAUAUACCUUAAAUGAAACAACAAGCCACCUGAUCAUUAACAUCAAUAUAUCUAUCCUAUAGGUAAUCCUUGGAGAAGUGAAAAACAUGGCACAACGACAUGAAAAAAAUCCUUCUUCAGUUUCUGAAGGUGAUGAGCUGAAGCCCAAAGAUGCGCAAGCCAUUGAGUAGGUAGAAUGUGUACAUCUCAGUUGAUCAAAAAAAGGAGAAACAUUGGUGCAGGUAACAUAGCAUAAAGACCAAGUGCUCAUCUACACGGGCAUCUACAUUUGGGGCUGAUCCAAAACAUUGUUGCUUCGGAUCAGCCCCAAAAUCACACUCCACUUCCAAACUGUGGCAGUGACAGAAGUGGACAUCCUAAACGUCCAUGUGGUCUAACCUUGGCUUGGUCCUGUUGGAUGGUUGACUCUAUCUUUGCUGUUGUUUGUCUGUUUGUUGCAGAGCUCCAGAGAGUAGUAGAGGCACCCAGCGACAUCCAGUGAUAAGUGACAGCCCAGGUUCUACAGCUGAUGUUUCAGCAUGAGUUGAGGAACUAUCACCAUUCACACCCAGCUUUGAUAACAUCAUAUGAAUAUCUAACUCCGGAAAUCCUUACACCCAGAAAGGAAUUCAUCUUGUGAAAUGGAGGGAAAUCCUGGAGGUCACUAAAAAAAAAAAAGAAAAUCAGAAGACAUGAUCAACUGUAGAGAGAUGGCUCCCCAGGGAAGCCGAGUUGCUGAGCAGUACAACUGUUCAAUGUAUGUUUCUCCACAGUAUUUCUGACUGAAAAUCAUUUUUGCUCGUAGGUUGAGCAAAGACUAUGUUUUUCUUUCUUUAAAAUAACAUCUAACAUUAAAUUUUGUGGGAGGCUUGGGUAGGAUGUGCUUUUCAUUUAUAUUUUUACAUAAAGGUUUUGGAAACAGCAGUGAGAACCAUUUCUGUUAAGAGAUAAAAACAAUUUUAUAUCCUGGUGGGGAUCGCUUUAUAUAUGCUGGUGACCUUGGUCUAACAACACAAGCAAAAGACUUUGAAACAGUUGAAAAACAACUUACUGAUGCCCUGAAAGAUCUCUCCAGCUACUACAAAGAUAACCACCUGAAGCCUAACCCUGUCAAGACACAAGUGGGUGCUUUCCAUCUACAUAAUCGUGAAGCCAACAGAAAACUGAAGGUUACUGGAAAGGCCAAGAGAUUGAACACUGUUCCCACCCUAAAUAUCUCAGCAUCACCUUAGGAAACACUGUGCGAACACCAAGGACAAAAUAGCUGCACGCAAUAACAUCCUACAGAAACUUACUAGCAGUGCAUGGGGGUGAAGAAAUUAAUAAGAACAUCAGCCCUGGCCUUGUCUUACUCAACUGUUGAGUAUGCCUGCCUCAUCUGGCAUAAAUCUGCCCAAGCAAAGCACCAAAUGAGACAUGUAGAAUAAUCACAGAAUGUCUUAAACAUGCACCUGUUGAGAGACUCUAUAAGCUAGCUGGCAUUGCCGCCCCCCCCUCCCCCCAAGGUGCGAUGGGAAGUUGCUGCAAAUUACGAGAGAAAUAAGGCUGGACACUGUGAAAGCCACCCACUGUAUGGCUAUCAGCCUCCUCCCAGUAGACUUAAAUCAAGGAAAAGUUUCAUGAGAACCAUUACUCCUCUAAAUGUUCCUCCAGCAACAGCAAGAAUAUCCCUGUGGGCAGCAAAAUCAGGUAAUUCCAACUGAAUGGCCCCCCACAAGGGUUUUUCUCCAGGGGCAAACCAAUAAUAGGCAACUUGGAAGUCCCUCAACAGACUCAGAAGUGGAGAUGGCAGAUCAAAUGACAACCUGGCAAAAUGGCAUGUCCUAGAAGAAUCCUCCACUUUGUGCAACUUACUGUGGAGCAGAACAAGCAACUCAGCAUCUGUAUGCUUGCCCACAAUCCCCUGCCUCAUGCACAGAGGAAGAACUGUUUAAAGCUACAGAUAAUGUAGUCGCUGUUGCCCGUCUUUGGUCCGAAAUUAUUUAGCUGCUUGUGUUCCCUCUGUUUUAUCAGUUUUAAACAUAUUUAUUUAUGCAAUGCUUUUGUCACAAAUUAAAUAAAUAAAUGGGGAUGACUUCUGCUGCAAUCUCCACCACAACUACUCAUUGAUCACAAAAGUGACUUACAUUAUCAUGAGUGACCCUUAAACCAAUGUAAGCGACCGACUAAAUUCUAGCUGGAGUCUGCAAAUCUCACUCUGACAAUGUAUGCCAAUAACCUCCAGAAAAUAAUUUUGUGAUCCUGUUGAUGCUCUGGUCUCUCUCUGGAAUGGAGGCAUGACUAGAACAAUACACAAUCACUCUGGAGUGUCCUCUCUUGAGUAACUAAGCUAAACCAGCUCUUUGGUUUAUUGAGGAGCUGGCAGCGAUGAAGCAAAAGAAGAGAGAACUAGAGUGCAUGUGGCGAUCAGAGUACGAGUCAGACCAAACACAACUAUGUUCCUAUCUUAAGACAUAUGCCGCGGCAAUCAAAGCCGCAAGAAGAGUUUUCCUUGCGGCCAACAUUGCGUCCGCAAACAACCGAUGGCCUAGGGGAUAAAAGCCUUGUGACUUAAAGGUUGGGUUGCUGACCUGAAAGUUGCCAGGUUCGAAUCCAACCCGGGGAGAGCCUGGAUGAGCUCCCUCUAUCAGCUCCAGCUCCAUGCGGGGACAUGAGAAAGCCUCCCACAAGGAUGGUAAAACAUCAAAACAUCCAGGCAUCCCCUGGGCAACGUCCUUGCAGACGGCCAAUUUUCUCACUCCAGAAGCAGCUCCGGUUGCUCCUGACACGAAAAAAAGAGGGUUGUUAACUCCCACCACUCAAGGUGGGAUCCCUGAUAAUUCUGCAGCCGACUGUGAAGCAUUUGCUCAGUUCUUUGCGGACAAAGUCGCUCUGAUCCGCUCCGACUUUGAUGCCAUAUUAACGGCAGACUCUGAGGAUGUAGCAUGAGCACCUGCUUGUCCAGUUUUGAUGGAUUCAUUUCAAUUGGUUGAGCUCGAGGAUGUGGACAAAAUUCAUGGAGAGGCGAGACUGACCACAUGCAUCCUGGACUCCUGCCCAUCCUGGCUGGUGAGAGAAGCCAGAGGGGGGUUGACCGAGUGGAUGAAGGUGGUGGUGAAUGCCUCCCUCCGGGAAGGCAAGUUUCCAGUGAGCCUAAAAAUGGCUGUGAUCAAGUCGCUGUUGAAGAAACCAUCACUGGAUCCCACUCAAUUCUGAAACUUUCAGCCUAUUUCCAAUCUUCCCUAUUCGGGCAAGGUGUUGGAACAUGUGGUUGCCUCGCAGCUCCAGGGAUUCUUGGUUGACACUGAUUUUCUGGAUCUGUCACAGUCUGGCUUUAGGCCGGGGCAUGGUACUGAGACAGCCUUGGCCACCUUAGUCAAUGAUCUUCACCGGGAGCUGGACAAGGGGAGUGUGUCCCUGCUGGUUCUGCUGGACCUCACAGCGGCCUUCGAUACCGUUGACCACGGUAUCCUUCUGGGACGCCUCGCGGGAAUGGGACUUGGAGGUACUGUUUGCAGUGGCUCCACUCAUUCCUGGAGGGUCGGUCCCAGAUGGUGUCAUUGGGGGACAACUGCUCGUUCCCACAACCAUUGACUUGUGGGGUUCCACAGGGUUCAGUACUGUCCCCCAUGUUGUUUAAUAUUUACAUGAAGCCGCUGGGAGAGAUCAUCAGAAGUUUCGGGGUCUGGUGUCAUCUCUAUACAGAUGAUGUCCAACUCUAUCUCUCCUUCCCACCUGUCACUAAUGAGGCUGUCCAGGUCCUAAACUGGUGCUUGGCCGCUGUGUCGGUCUGGAUGAGGGCCAACAAAUUGAAAUUGAAUCCAGACAAGACAGAGGUCCUCCUGUCAGUCGGAAGGCAGAACAGGGUAUAGGGUUACAGCCUGUGCUGGACGGGGUCACACUCCCCCAGAAGGUGCAGGUUCACAGUCUGGGGGUGAUCCUAGACUUAUUGUUGAGCCUGGAGCCCCAGGUCUCGGUGGUGGCUAAGGGAGCCUUCGCACAGCUAAAACGUGUGCCAGCUGCGACCGUACCUUGAGAAACCGUACCUUGGCCACAGUGGUCCAUGCUCUUGUUACAUCCCGAUUAGACUACUGCAAUGCGCUGUACGUGGGGCUGCCUUUGAAGACUGUUCGGAAGCUUCAACUAGUUCAACGGGAGGCAGCCAGGUUAAUAACUGAAGCAGCAUGCUACUCCUCUGUUGUACCAGCUCCACUGGCUGCCGAUUAGCUACUGAGCACAAUUCAAGGUGCUGGCUUUAGCCUAUAAAGCCCUAAACGGUUCCAGCCCAGCUUACUUGUCCAAAUGUGUCUCCCACUACGACCACCUCAAAAUUUAAGAUCUUCAGGUGAGUCCCUGCUGGCGGUCCCGCCAGCCUCACAGGUGCGGCUGGCGGGGACAAGAGACAGGGCCUUUUCAGUAGUGGCUCCCCCACCUAUGGAACGCCCUCCCAAAUGAUGUCAGGCAGGCUCCCUCCCUCCUAUCUUUCCAUAGAAAAGUUAAGACCUGGUUGUGGGACCAGGCCUUCAAACAAUAACAGCAACAUUACUACUACCACGCUUUAGAAUUCAAUGACAGACCCAGUUUUUAGACUCGAAAUGUGCCAAUUGUAUAUUUAUAUGUAUAUUUUUAUGAAUGUUUAAUGUAUUUAAUUUUAAUUGAUUGAAUGUUCUGUAUUAUUUUUAUAUGUGUGUUUUUAUUGUAAGCCGCCCUGAGUCCCCUGUUGGGUGGGAAGGACGGGAUCAAGUACUGCAAUAAAUAAAUAAAUAAUAUUCAGUAUGUA